GCAAGUUGGUUUGGUCGAGAGAGGACUCGAGAGAGGUGAUAAAAUGCAUUGUAUCAAAGGCAAAGAGAGCCACGUGAAGUUACAUGUGCCGUUCGAUCCUCAAUGUCUGUCUCAUUGCCUUUCUCCUUAAUAAAUCAACAAAACUAUACUGGUCAGAGUAUUAUUUAUUCAUCUUACAAAAAAAAAAAGCUGAUCAACAAAAGAUAUUAAAAAACAAAAAAAACUCGAGUGAAACUGUGUAUAUGGACCUCGUUAUAUUAUAUAUUGAGAUUAUUGUAAUGCUAAUGCAUCAAGUGUCUAAGAAUUAGACCAAAACAUAUGAUAUGUCUAUGCAUAU
rnacentral:lncRNA from 1 species